rnacentral:misc_RNA from 1 species
GAAAUGCGAUAAGUAGUGUGAAUUGCAGAAUUCAGUGAAUCAUCGAAUCUUUGAACGCACAUUGCGCCCUUUGGUAUUCCAAAGGGCAUGCCUGUUCGAGCGUCAUUUGUACCCUCAAGCUUUGCUUGGUGAUGGGCGUCUUGUCUCUAGCUUUGCUGGAGACUCGCCUUAAAGUAAUUGGCAGCCGGCCUACUGGUUUCGGAGCGCAGCACAAGUCGCACUCUCUAUCAGCAAAGGUCUAGCAUCCAUUAAGCCUUUUUUUCAACUUUUGACCUCGGAUCAGGUAGGGAUACCCGCUGAACUUAAGC